CAUUCUAAAACUUUAUAUAUGUAAGAAGCCCUUGUUACUUAGUUGAACGUGGGCAUUUGAAUGUAUCAACACUAGUGGGCCAUUUUUGGUAAGCAGAACUGGCGAUGCGGGAUGAACCGAACGCGAGGUUAAGGUGCCAGAGUAGACGCUCAUCACACACCACAAAAGGCGUUAGUACAUCUUGACAGCAGGACGGUGGCCAUGGAAGUCGGAAUCCGCUAAGGAAACUGGAAACAAUAACAUAUCAACCUCC
rnacentral:rRNA from 1 species